UACGGGGGGGGUAAGCGUUGUUCGGAAUUACUGGGCGUAAAGGGCUCGUAGGCGGCCAACUAAGUCAUACGUGAAAUCCCUCAGCUUAACUGGGGGAACUGCGUGUGAUACUGGAUGGCUUGGAUUUGGGAGAGGGAUGCGGAAUUCCAGGUGUAGCGGUGAAAUGCGUAGAUAUCUGGAGGAACACCGGUGGCGAAGGCGGCAUCCUGGACCAAUAUUGACGCUGAGGAGCGAAAGCCAGGGGAGCAAAGCGGG
rnacentral:rRNA from 1 species